GAUGAACGCUGGCGGCGUGCCUAAUACAUGCAAGUCGAGCGAACAGAUGAGGAGCUUGCUCCUCUGACGUUAGCGGCGGACGGGUGAGUAACACGUGGAUAACCUACCUAUAAGACUGGGAUAACUUCGGGAAACCGGAGCUAAUACCGGAUAAUAUAUUGAACCGCAUGGUUCAAUAGUGAAAGACGGUUUUGCUGUCACUUAUAGAUGGAUCCGCGCCGCAUUAGCUAGUUGGUAAGGUAACGGCUUACCAAGGCAACGAUGCGUAGCCGACCUGAGAGGGGGAUCGCCCACAGUGGAACAGACACAGUGCCAAGCCCCCGAGGGGAGGAGGAAGAGGGAAUUGUUCCGAAGGGGGCGAAACCCGACGGGACCACCGCCGGGGGGGUGAUAAGGGUCUUCGUAUCAAAAAACUCUGUUAUAGGGAAAAAAAAAAUGUUAAAGUAACAAUGCACGUCUGGACUGGACCAAAACAAAAACCCCCGGAAAACUGCGG
rnacentral:rRNA from 1 species